GGUCCGGUCGUCUAGUGGUUAGGACGCCAGGUUUUCAUCCUGGUAACCGGGGUUCGAUUCCCCGUCGGACUA
rnacentral:tRNA from 1 species